UGGGUCCUACGGGACGCAGCAGUGAGGAAUAUUGGUCAAUGGGCGGGAGCCUGAACCAGCCACGUCGCGUGAGGGAAGACGGUCCUAUGGAUUGUAACCCUCUUUAGGCGGGGAGCAAUGCCGGGCACGCGUGCCCGGAGGGAGAGUACCCGCAGAAUAAGCAUCGGCUAACUCCGUGCCAGCAGCCGCGGUAAUACGGAGGAUGCGAGCGUUAUCCGGAUUUAUUGGGUUUAAAGGGUGCGUAGGCGGACUUUUAAGUCAGCGGUAAAAUGUCCGGGCUCAACCCGGGCCGGCCGUUGA
rnacentral:rRNA from 1 species